AGCGGACGUUAGCGGCACGCUUAACACAUGCAAGUCGCACGAGAGUGGAGCAAUCCAUGAAAGUGGCGCACGGGUGCGUAACACGUAGAUAAUCUGCCCUAAAGAGGGGGAUAACGUUCCGAAAGGAGCGCUAAUACCGCAUACAGCAGUUGGUGGUUCGCCAUCGAUUGGCAAAGGCUGGGAUCGCAAGACCAGUCGCUUUAGGAGGAGUCUGCGGCCCAUCAGCUAGUUGGUAAGGUAACGGCUUACCAAGGCAAAGACGGGUAGCUGGUCUGAGAGGAUGAUCAGCCACACUGGUACUGGAACACGGACCAGACUCCUACGGGAGGCAGCAGUGGGGAAUCUUGGUCAAUGGGCGAAAGCCUGAACCAGCGAUGCCGCGUGAGUGAUGAAGGCCUUCGGGUUGUAAAGCUCUGUGGGGCGAGACGAAAGCCUACGUUCUAACAGGACGUAGUUUGACGGUAUCGCCUUAGCAAGCACCGGCUAACUCUGUGCCAGCAGCCGCGGUAAGACAGAGGGUGCAAACGUUGCUCGGAAUCACUGGGCGUAAAGGGCGCGUAGGCGGACAAGUAAGUCGGGCGUGAAAUCCCUAGGCUCAACCUAGGAACUGCACUCGAAACUGCAUGUCUUGAGUACCGGAGAGGAAAGCGGAAUACCUGGUGUAGAGGUGAAAUUCGUAGAUAUCAGGUGGAACACCAGUGGCGAAGGCGGCUUUCUGGACGGUAACUGACGCUGAGCGCGAAAGCGUGGGGAGCAAACAGGAUUAGAUACCCUGGUAGUCCACGCUGUAAACGAUGAGCGCUAGGUGUCGUGGGUAUUGACCCCCGCGGUGCCGAAGCUAACGCAUUAAGCGCUCCGCCUGGGAAGUACGGUCGCAAGACUAAAACUCAAGGAAUUGACGGGGGCCCGCACAAGCGGUGGAGCAUGUGGUUUAAUUCGACGCAACGCGCA
rnacentral:rRNA from 1 species